UGAAACUUUGUGACAGAGAGUCCACACAGUCAGCAUUGCUGAAAGAAAGGCACAGAAAAAGGUAACAAGGUAAAGACCCCUUGGGUGGUUAAGUCCUGUCAAAGGCAAUUAUGGGGUGCAGCACUCAUCUCGCUUCAGGUCGAGGGAGAUGGCGUUUGUCCACCGACAGCUUUCCGGGUCAUGUGGCCAGCAUGGCUAAACUGCUACUGGUGCAUGGAUGACUAUGAAGAGUGCCAGAGCGCAUGGAAAUGCCAUUUACCUUCCCGCCACAAUGGUACCUAUUUACCGUAUUUUUUGCUCUAUAAGACUUACUUUUUCCCUCCUAAAAAGUAAGGGGAAAUGUGUGUGCGUCUUAUGGAGCGAAUGCAGGCUGCGCAGCUAUCCCAGAACCCAGAACAGCAAGAGGGAUCGCUGCUUUCACUGCGCAGCGAUCCCUCUUGUUGUUCUGACUUCUGAGAUUCAGAAUAUUUUUUUUCUUGUGUUCCUCCUCCAAAAACUAGGUGCAUCUUAUGGUCUGGUGUGUCUUAUAGAGCAAAAAAUACGGUAUCUACUUGUACUAAGACUCCCUGGAAAAGACCCUGAUGUCGGGAAAGAUUGAGGGCACAAGGAGAAGGGGACAGAGGAUGAGAUGGUUGGACACUGUUCUCGAAGCUACCAGCAUGAGUUUGACCAAACUGCAGGAGGCAGUGGAAGACAGGAGUGCCUGGCGUGCUCUGGUCCAUGGGGUCACGAAGAGUCGGACACAACUAAACGACUAAACAACAAAAAGCAUGCUUUUGAACUGCUAGGUUGGCAGAAACUGGGACACAGCAACGGGAGCUCACCCCAUCGUGAGGAUUUGAACCACCGAUCUUUUCCUGCAGGUUUUGAAUAAACAUUCACAAUUUUUUACUGAUAAUAA